rnacentral:rRNA from 1 species
GCAAGUCUCCGCACCCCUGUGAGAACGCCCUUAAAUCCCUAAAGGGACCGGGAGCCGGUAUCAGGCUCGAUUAUCAGCCCACGACACCUAGCCACGCCACACCCACAAGGGUAUACAGCAGUGAUUAAUAUUGACCAUGAGCGCAAGCUUGACUCAGUCAGAGUAAACAGAGCCGGCAAAUCUGGUGCCAGCCGCCGCGGCCAUACCACGGGCUCAAACUGAUUACACUCGGCGUAAAGCGUGAUUAAAGUUACCUCAAAUUGCAGUUAAACUGGAACUUAGCAGUAUAACCCUUGAACCCAGGAAGCACAAGAACGAAAGUCACUGCAAAUUAACCUACUUGACCUCACGAC